AGCAGCCGCGGUAAUUCCAGCUCCAAUAGCGUAUAUUAAAGUUGUUGCAGUUAAAAAGCUCGCAGUUGAAUUUCGGGAUCAGUACGCCGGUCGUGCCUUCGGUAUGCACUGGUGUCACUGGUUUCUCCCUUCUGAAGAACCAUCAUGCCAUUCAGUUGGUGUGGCGGGGAAUCAGGACUGUUACUUUGAAAAAAUUAGAGUGUUUAAAGCAGGCUCGCGCUUGAAUACAUUAGCAUGGAAUAAUGAAAUAGGACGUUUGACCCUAUUUUGUUGGUUUCUAGGAUCGACGUAAUGAUUAAUAGGGAUAGUUGGGGGGCAUUAGUAUUCAAUUGUCAGAGGUGGAAUUCUUGGAUUUAUUGAAGACUAACUACUGCGAAAGCAUUUGCCAAGGAUGUUUUCAUUAAUCAAGAACGAAAGUUAGGGGAUCGAAGACGAUCAGAUACUGUCGUAGUCUUAACCAUAAACUAUGCCGACUAGGGAUCGGAUGAUGUUAAUUUUUUAAUGACUCAUUCGGCGCCUU
rnacentral:misc_RNA from 1 species